UACGUAGGGAGCAAGCGUUAUCCGGAAUUAUUGGGUGUAAAGGGUGCGUAGACGGGAAAUUAAGUUAGUUGUGAAAUCCCUCGGCUCAACUGAGGAACUGCAACUAAAACUGAUUUUCUUGAGUGCAGGAGAGGAAAGUGGAAUUCCUAGUGUAGCGGUGAAAUGCGUAGAUAUUAGGAGGAACACCAGUGGCGAAGGCGACUUCCUGGACUGUAACUGACGUUGAGGCACGAAAGUGUGGGGAGCAAACAGG
rnacentral:rRNA from 1 species